CAUCUUGGAUUUUGUAUGUAAACAAUCUGCAAUAUUUUGCAAUAUCUUUUUUUUUGCUCUUUGUGUGUGGAAUUGUUUUGGUGGCAAUAAGAACAUUGAGAAGUUGAAAGAUCAAGAGAAUAAAUCGACUCUCGGUGUCGGUUGGUGAUGGAGAUAUUUUUCCCGCGUUUUUCAGUUAGAGACGUCGGUUAAUCGUUCGAUUAAUCCAAAUAAUCGAAAAUCUGCAUCAGUAAUUUUAUAUCGAAUGAUGAAAAAUCAAAUGCAAAAUAUGUUUAACCGUCGGUGUUUCGUCGAAAUUCAUCGAAUAUGCUAAACCAUUUACGGUUGAAGCAUAAAAAUGAUUCCCUGCUGGUGGAGGAUACUGGGAUGAAGAAUUCAGGGUCUGCAGAAGUAACAUGCGGACUUGAAAAAGGUGGUCUCAACUCAUGUUCUAAAAUAGUAGUAUUCAAACUCCGGGUGCCAAGGAAAAUAUACCCUACUAGUGGUCAAUGAUUCUAUAAAUAUACUUUUUUUGAACUAGUAGUUUUAGGGAAAAAGCAGGAAAAUACACACAAAUCAAAUAUUUCAACAACAUUCGAAGAAUAGGUAAUUUUGAACAGAAAACAUUUUAUGUUGGUAUAACAAAAAUAUUGUGCAUCAUUUCCAUGGUGUUCUCUCUUUUCAAUCGUCCUCAA